rnacentral:rRNA from 1 species
AGUAGGGCCUGCCCACUGAGUAAUUGAAGGGCCGCAGUAUCUUAACUGUGCAAAGGUAGCAUAAUCAUUAGUUUUUUAAUUGAAAGCUAGUAUGAAUGGUUUGAUGAAAAAAUUUCUGUUUCGAUAUUAAUUAAUUAAAAUUUUAUUUUUAAGUAAAAAAGCUUAAAUUUUAAUAAAAGACGAGAAGACCCUAUAGAGUUUAAUUAAUAAAUAAUUUAUUAAAUUUAGAAUUUAUUUUUAUAGAAUUAUUUAUUAAUUUAAUUGGGGUGAUUAAAAAAUUAAAUAAACUUUUUUUAUAUUUUUACAGUUAUUUAUGAAUAUUUGAUCCAUAUAAAUGAUUAAAAGAAU